rnacentral:rRNA from 1 species
GCAUGCUUGCGGNCUGGGNUCACUCUNCUUAACAUGCAAGUCGAACGAUGAAGCCCUUCGGGGUGGAUUAGUGGCGAACGGGUGAGUAACACGUGGGCAAUCUGCCCUUCACUCUGGGACAAGCCCUGGAAACGGGGUCUAAUACCGGAUACGACACACGACCGCAUGGUCUGUGUGUGGAAAGCUCCGGCGGUGAAGGAUGAGCCCGCGGCCUAUCAGCUUGUUGGUGGGGUGAUGGCCUACCAAGGCGACGACGGGUAGCCGGCCUGAGAGGGCGACCGGCCACACUGGGACUGAGACACGGCCCAGACUCCUACGGGAGGCAGCAGUGGGGAAUAUUGCACAAUGGGCGAAAGCCUGAUGCAGCGACGCCGCGUGAGGGAUGACGGCCUUCGGGUUGUAAACCUCUUUCAGCAGGGAAGAAGCGAAAGUGACGGUACCUGCAGAAGAAGCGCCGGCUAACUACGUGCCAGCAGCCGCGGUAAUACGUAGGGCGCAAGCGUUGUCCGGAAUUAUUGGGCGUAAAGAGCUCGUAGGCGGCUUGUCACGUCGGAUGUGAAAGCCCGGGGCUUAACCCCGGGUCUGCAUUCGAUACGGGCAGGCUAGAGUUCGGUAGGGGAGAUCGGAAUUCCUGGUGUAGCGGUGAAAUGCGCAGAUAUCAGGAGGAACACCGGUGGCGAAGGCGGAUCUCUGGGCCGAUACUGACGCUGAGGAGCGAAAGCGUGGGGAGCGAACAGGAUUAGAUACCCUGGUAGUCCNCCCCGUAAACGUUGGGAACUAGGUGUGGGCGACAUUCCACGUNGUCCGUGCCGNANCUNACNCAUUAANUUCCCCCCCUGGGGAGUACNGCCNCNAGGCUNAAACUCAANGAAUUGACGGGGGCCCCCCACAACCANCGGACC